UACGGGGGGGGCAAGCGUUGUUCGGAAUUACUGGGCGUAAAGGGCGCGUAGGCGGCCUUCUAAGUCGGACGUGAAAUCCCUCGGCUUAACCGAGGAACUGCGUCCGAUACUGAAAGGCUUGAAUCCGGGAGAGGGAUGUGGAAUUCCAGGUGUAGCGGUGAAAUGCGCAGAUAUCAGGAGGAACACCGGUGGCGAAGGCGGUUCUCUGGGCCUGUACUGACGCUGAGGAGCGAAAGCGUGGGGAGCAAACAGG
rnacentral:rRNA from 1 species